CCUACGGGAGGCAGCAGUGGGGAAUAUUGCACAAUGGGCGAAAGCCUGAUGCAGCGACGCCGCGUGAGGGACGACGGCCUUCGGGUUGUAAACCUCUUUCAGCAGGGACGAAGCGCAAGUGACGGUACCUGCAGAAGAAGCACCGGCUAACUACGUGCCAGCAGCCGCGGUAAUACGUAGGGUGCAAGCGUUGUCCGGAAUUACUGGGCGUAAAGAGUUCGUAGGCGGUUUGUCACGUCGUUUGUGAAAACUCACAGCUCAACUGUGAGCCUGCAGGCGAUACGGGCAGACUUGAGUACUGCAGGGGAGACUGGAAUUCCUGGUGUAGCGGUGAAAUGCGCAGAUAUCAGGAGGAACACCGGUGGCGAAGGCGGGUCUCUGGGCAGUAACUGACGCUGAGGAACGAAAGCGUGGGUAGCGAACAGGAUUAGAUACCCUGGUAGUCCCACGACCGUAACGGUAGGGCGGCGUAGGUGGUGGGUUCCGUUCCGUACCGGAACGUACCGUCGUCCGUACGUCGUAACCGACAUUAAGUACCGCCCCGCCCGUCGGGGUAGGUACGGGCCGGCCGACGGACGUAAACCGUAACGUAAACGGUAAAGUUAGUUACGGCGUGAGACGUGCCGACGGCGACGACGAGGGAGGAGG
rnacentral:rRNA from 1 species